rnacentral:misc_RNA from 1 species
GGAAGGAUCAUUAACAAAUUAGAAACAAAAAAAGAUGGUGUUUUCAUGCCUUUUUUUUGUUUUUAACUGAAACAUUUAGCUUUAAAUUUUUUUAAACUAAUAAAUUAAAAUCAAUAAAUAUGAAAAUAAUAAAAUUUUUCACUUUCAACAAUGGAUAUCUUGGCUCCCGUUUCGAUGAAGAACGUAGCAAACUGCGAUAAUUGACGUGAAUUGCAGAAUAAAGUGAAUCGUCGAGUUUUUGAAUGCACCCUGCACCUCGGAGGCUUUUGUUUCUGAGGUAUGCUUGGUUGAGUGUUACUAAAUAAUAAUAAAAAUCAAAAAAUUAUUUGAAGGUCUCUUUCGAGUCCUUUGAAAUAACAAAUUUUGAAAUGAUUUUAUGAAUGAGAAACGUCUCGCAAGAGCUUGAAAAAUGAAAAAUUUCUUCAUUUUCUUGAAAGAAGUUCAUCAUUCUUAAAAAUCUUUUUUAAUAAUAUACCUCAACUCAAGCAAGACUACCCGCUGAAUUUAAGCAUAUUAAUAAGCGGAGGAGAAGAAAACAACAGUGAUUCCCCCAGUAACGGCGAGUGAACAGGGAAAAGCUCAGACUUGAAAUCUGGAAGUCGGUUUCGAUUUCCCGAAUUGUAGUCUUUUGAGUGUCACCCCUUGGUUCCCUCUGUCAAGAAAAAGUAUCCUGGAACGGAUUGGCAAAGAGGGUGAGACCCCCGUUUUCAUGUGACGGAGCGGAGCUGGUACAGUGGGUGGCGCUUGUCGAGUCAGGUUGCUUGAGAGUGCAGCCUAAAAUGGGUGGUAAACUCCACCUAAAGCUAAAUAAGCAACGGGAGACCGAUAGUGAAAAAGUACCGUGAGGGAAAGAUGAAAAGUACUCUGGAAAGAGAGUAAAAAGUGCUUGAAAUUGUUGAAAGAGAAGCGCUUGAACUUAGUGGCUGCCUUGCCCUUGGAGAAGGCUCCUAAUCAGCAAUGAUUGGAAGUAUCUUUUUCAGGGGCGGUGGGCUGGCACUGGUUGAGUCUUGGUCUCAAGAAGGCCUGAAGCAGCUGGAUUGCUUGAAUGAGUUUGAGCUUCGUGGGUGCAGCAGGAGGCGGGGUAACUCGUUUUCGCGCUGUCUGACGGGGUAAACGACUCAUUUCUUUUUAACAAGCACACGCUCACUCGACCAGUUAACAACCAAAGUCAUCGGUCCCUUCACCAGCUCGAACCGUGUCGAGUUUCCUGGCGGGAUCCAACGCAUGGGGCCACCUCGUUUGUAUCCUUUGCAGGUUUCUGUAAGGGAGCAGGCGAGACCCUGUGCUUGGGUUCUGUCACACGGGGAUUCGGCAAACGGUAGUUCAGAAGGGAUUCGUUACGCUGCCAGCGAAAUAAGUUCAAACGUCCCGUCUUGAAACACGGACCAAGGAGUCUAACAUGCACGCGAGCGUUCUGGUGAUUAAAACCAAACAUAAUCGAAGAAACUGACGCGAAACGAAAGUGAAAAGAGGUGGGAAGUGGCUCUUUCAAACUUGGGAGCUGCUGCACCACCCGCCCACUCUGAGGUACGUCCAAUAAGGGUGAGAGUGAAAGUGUGCAUGAUAGGACCCGAAAGAUGGUGAACUAUGCUUGGGUAGGACAAAGCCAGGGGAAACCCUGGUGGAAGUUCGUAGCGAUACUGACGUGCAAAUCGUUCGUCAAACCUGUGCAUAGUGGCGAAAGACUAAUCGAACCAUUUAGUAGCUGGUUCCCUC